rnacentral:rRNA from 1 species
AUGCAUGGGUUUAGAAGAGAAGGGAAACUAAAGGAAUCAUGUGAUGCCGUUGCCCAGAUGUUGCAGAAGGGCUUCUUUCCCACCACUGUGGAGAUUAACUUACUGAUACAUGCGUUAUGUAAGGAAGGAAAGCCGGCAGAGGCCAAAGACUUCAUGGAGCAGUGCCAAAGCAAAGGUUGUACCAUUAAUGUUAUCAACUUUACUACUGCAAUUCAUGGAUUUUCUCGGCAGGAGGAUUUGGAAUCAGCGUUGUCUUUGUUGGAUGACUUGUAUCUCAGCAACAGGCAUCCAGAUGUUGUAACUUAUACUGUUGUUGUCAAUGCUUUGGGAAAGAAAGGUCGGCUGAAAGAAGCGACGGAGCUUGUGAAGAAAAUGCUUAAUAGAGGAAUUGUCCCUACACUUGUUACAUACAGGACAGUGAUACAUAGAUACUGGAGAAGGGUAAAGUGGAAGAAUUACUCGAUCUACUGGAUAAGAUGUUAG